rnacentral:sRNA from 12 species
CGAGGGUUGGAAUCACGAUGUUGUGGCCCCCGCUAGCGUCUCAGCGAGCGAUCACGGGGAUCUCCACACGCUCGCCGGUAUAGCCAUCAACGCUUAAAGUAGGCCGUCGGGGGUGCUCACCUUAGCCCGUCGCUCCGAAUUUUAUGUGGUGUUUGAUGCUGCACGCCGUGGAGGGGUGAGACUUGUUGGAAGUCUCAGAAGGUGUAGACGCCG